rnacentral:rRNA from 1 species
UGGGGAAUAUUGCACAAUGGGCGCAAGCCUGAUGCAGCCAUGCCGCGUGUAUGAAGAAGGCCUUCGGGUUGUAAAGUACUUUCAGCGGGGAGGAAGGGAGUAAAGUUAAUACCUUUGCUCAUUGACGUUACCCGCAGAAGAAGCACCGGCUAACUCCGUGCCAGCAGCCGCGGUAAUACGGAGGGUGCAAGCGUUAAUCGGAAUUACUGGGCGUAAAGCGCACGCAGGCGGUUUGUUAAGUCAGAUGUGAAAUCCCCGGGCUCAACCUGGGAACUGCAUCUGAUACUGGCAAGCUUGAGUCUCGUAGAGGGGGGUAGAAUUCCAGGUGUGGCGGUGAAAUGCGUAGAGAUCUGGAGGAAUACCGGUGGCGAAGGCGGCCCCCUGGACGAAGACUGACGCUCAGGUGCGAAAGCGUGGGGAGCAAACAGG